AUACGUAGGUGGCAAGCGUUGUCCGGAAUUACUGGGCGUAAAGGAUGUGUAGGCGGAUAUUUAAGUGAGAUGUGAAAUCCCCCGAGCUCAACUUGGGGGCUGCAUUUCAAACUGGGUAUCUAGAGUGCAGGAGAGGAAAGCGGAAUUCCUAGUGUAGCGGUGAAAUGCGUAGAGAUUAGGAAGAACAUCAGUGGCGAAGGCGGCUUUCUGGACUGUAACUGACGCUGAGGCAUGAAAGCGUGGGGAGC
rnacentral:rRNA from 1 species